AAAAAAAAAAAGAGGUAAGAGGGAACAGAGCCCCAAAGGACAGAGAAGAGAAAUAGGUUGGUAGAAAGGAAGAGAGAGUGCAUCUCAGGCAGGCCAUCCAGCUAAGCACAGGCAGGAAGGUGUCAGGCAGGGAAGGCCAGUGGGUGCACCAUCAUGGUUGUGGGAGAAGGACUGGGGAGAGGUGAGCCUGGAAGGCUGGGGGGAGCUUGUUAAGCACAGCUCCAGAGGCAGGCAGUAGGGAGCCGCUGCAGGUUCUGUCCCUACACAGGCAAGCAGGGGGUGGUCUUAACAACAUAGCACCUUCCAACGAAGAGAAGAUUUUCUAACUUCUUUUACAAGGUGGGAAAAAUAAAAGGUCAGAAGUGAGAGCCAGUGAAAGGGGGUUGGCUAGAGAAAGGCAUUACCCUGUACUUCCCCAUUCGUUCUCAUGCACACAUAGUGUUUAACCCAUGGAUAGAGGUAGGCAGGUAACACCUGCAGUACUGCAUCCUGAACUUGAUCUCCUGUGCUUAGAUAUCUGCAAACUGCCCUUGGGUACCAUCUGCAGUCAUUGCAUUGCUGGCUGCACACUCACCAUGCAGUAACAGAUUGUUGCUGGUCUAAACAACACUUGGAUGAAUAUCUCUGCUCCCUAGACUUCUGGAUUGUUUCCAUUGGAUACUUUUCCUGAAGGGGAACUUCUGACUUUAAGGGAACAGAAGUUUUUAUGCCUUAGAUUUAAAAUGCUCAUACUUUUUAACAGUAAAUUUCUUUAGAAUUUUCUAUAGGUUAUAUGGUAUGGUUUUUUGUUUUUUUUUUUCUCUCUCUCUCUCUUUUUUUUUAACCUUGAUAGGUGUACUCUUUAACCCCUAUCCCUUACUUCACCCAUGCCUCCACCCAGAUUGUACAGGGUAUGGGUUGGUUGGUUUUGUUUUGUUUUAAGAUUUAUUUAUCUUAGAGCUUGGAGGGGAGGGCAGAUGAGAGUGUCUUAAGCAGACUCCAUACUGAGCAUGGACCCUGACGCAGGGCUCAAUCUCACAACUCUUGAGAUCAAGACCUGAGUUGAAACCAAGAGUUGGAGGCUUAACUGUGCCAUCCAGGCACUCCGGUAUAGGAUUUUUUAAAAAGAGCAAAUGUACACAAGCAUAUACAAUAAAAAGUCUAUCCAGUCCAGUUCUCCCUAAGGACAAUUGUUAGUUUCCUGUAUAUCCUUCCAGAAAUAUUCUGUGCAGAUACUGUAUAUACCCAGUUUUCAGAAAAAUAGAUACAUAUUACACUCUGUUCAGCAAAUUGCUUUUUUUAUUCUUAAAUUUGGGGUUAUGAAGUACACCAAAGCAGCACAGAAAAUGACACCACACACACACACACACACACACACACACACACACACCCUGUAGCCCUAUACACAGGUUUAACAAAUGUUAUGUAACAUUUUGCGCUGGCAUCUUGUUUAAGGAAGUAACCCUAUGUCAGUGCAGCCCCAUGCAGAGGAGUCCAGUUUAUUGAGUAUAUGCACACAUUCUUUUCGGCCGUGCCCAGCUCUUGGAUAUUUAGAGUAUUACUGACUUUUUUCCUUAAAUAAUCGAUGCGGAGGUAAUACUCCACUUUGUAUGAUGCUGGCCCAGUGUUAAGGCCAAGGAGAACGAAGCUCAGCUGUUCAGCCACACUUUCUAGCUGUGUGACCUAGGGUGAGUGACCCCUUUGAUCCUCUUUACCCAUCUGUAAAAUGCUGCAGUAAUCCCUCCAUCUCAUCGCUGCUGGGAGGAGUACAGGAGUAGGUAACCGAAGACUUCAUUAAGCUUAGUUCGCCAAUACCCUUAAACAGGUUACCCUCCACAAGGGAGGCCAAGCUUUCCUGGCCACGCGCCGAGAGCUAUUAGAGCGGCGGACAACUGCAGCUCGGGCUUAAAACUGUUCCCCGCCCCUUUCCCGGGCCACGCUGGGGGCGGGGCGGUUAAGUGUCUCUGUGACGUCAGCGCACGCAAGACCAAUCCCCCUGCCUGGCAGGCGUUAGCUGCUUUGCAUGGGCUGCCCGCUAUUGGUUCGUUGGGCAACCCAGGCCCUCCCAGCUUUUUAAAGCUGCCGCGUAGUAUAAACAAGGAGAUGCACAGCGGCCAGGCCAUGAUGUCAUCGCGGCGCGGUAGCUCUUGGGGCUGACGUCAUCUCCGGGGAGGUUGCCGACCCAAGGCUGUUAGAGCCUUCCUAACCCAGUUGGGCUGGCUUAAGAGGCCGCUCCUGCCCCGUCGAAGGCCAGUCCCAUUGCACUUCAGUGUCCCUGGCGGCGCCCCGUCCCCGAAGAGAAGACCAUGACACAGGUUGUGAGCCCUGGCCCAGCCCCUCCACCCCACUGCCACCCCUGAUGCGACCAUGGGCUCUGGCAGUGACUAGGUGGCCACCCUCUGCCCCUGUGGGUCAGCGGCGAUUCUCUGUAGGACCUGGCAGUACCCCGGGCCAGCUCCGGGGAAGUCCUACUGGGGCCUCCUCUCUGUGGUGCAGCCCCAGCCGCGAGGGCCCCCUGGCCAGCCUGCCUGCCCAGGAUGAGCGCUUACCCUCCCAGCAGCCACUACCCCGGCCACACCUCCCUGUAGAGGAGCACCGAGCCUCGGCUCCUGCCGGCAGGAGCCCCCGAAUGCUGCACCCAGCCUCCCAACAGAGCCCGUUCAUGGUUGAUCUCCACGAGCAGGUGCACCAGGGACCCGUCCCUCUGUCCUACACAGUCACCACGGUGACAACCCAAGGCUUCCCCUUGCCUACAGGCCAACACAUCCCUGGCUGCAGUGCCCAGCAGCUCCCAGCAUGCUCCGUGAUGUUCAGUGGGCAGCACUACCCCCUCUGCUGCCUCCCACCCCCGCCCCUGCAGCGGCUUGACAACGAUGUGGACCUGCGGGGGGACCAGCACCCCCUGGGGAGCUUCACCUACUCCACCUCUGCCCCAGGCCCAGCCCUGUCCCCAUCUGUGCCCCUGCACUACCUGCCCCAUGAUCCACUGCACCAGGAGCUAUCCUUUGGUGUGCCAUAUUCCCACAUGAUGCCACGGAGACUGAGCACCCAGAGAUACCGCCUGCAACAGCCACUGCCCCCGCCACCCCCACCGCCACCCCCGCCACCGUAUUACCCCAGCUUCCUGCCCUACUUUCUCUCGAUGCUGCCAAUGUCACCAACAGCAAUGGGGCCCACCAUCAGCCUGGAUCUCGAUGUGGAUGACGUGGAGAUGGAGAACUAUGAGGCCCUCCUGAACCUGGCAGAGCGACUAGGAGAUGCCAAGCCUCGAGGCCUCACCAAAGCGGACAUUGAGCAGCUCCCAUCAUACCGCUUUAACCCAGACAGCCAUCAGUCAGAGCAGACACUGUGUGUUGUCUGCUUCAGUGACUUUGAGGCACGGCAGCUGCUGCGAGUCCUCCCCUGCAACCACGAGUUCCACACCAAGUGUGUCGACAAGUGGUUAAAGGGGUGCACACCACAAGUCCUUGGACAGAAGAUGGAGCUCCAGGACCAGAUGUUCUCUUACCCCUUUGGCCCUGGUACCUCAAAACCCUCUGAACUCAGCCUGUAUACUCAUGGACAAGACUCUGAGUUCUUCUCUGGGCACAGAAGAAAAGACACCCACAAGACAGAAGGGAAAGAAGAAGCAGGUAACGUCACUGAACAAUUUUGAAGUGAAAAAGGAAGAGGAUGAAGUUCUGUGACAAGAUCUCAAAUUCCUCAGGAAGUAGGCUGUAAUGUGUUGAGAGUGAGGAGGAUGCAGGAUGAACUAUUAGCAGGGGGCAAGCUACAGACUGUUGAAAACAGUAAUAGGAGCUAUAACUUACUGAACAUCUAUUGCAUGCUAAAUAACUGCAGCAGCAAUUCACUUCAUCUGGACUGCAAGGCUACAACCCAUUUUACAGAUGAUGAAAGUGAAGCCUACAGAGUUGAAGUCACAGCCAGGAUUUGAAACCAGGCGCAGUACAAGUUGGGACACUGCAUCCUUUGUGGAUGGAUUUCCUGUUGCUGCGUUCCUCACAAGUCCUAAAAAAAAACCAGUUGCAAAGUGGAGCUCCUUGUUCAAGCACCAGGUCCCAUUGAGUUCCGAGGUCCUUGGGAGUAACAGAUUGUACUGGCUUUAAGUGACAAAAUGUUCAUCCUUCAUGGAGGAGGAAGGGAGAUGACACCUAUGCAGCAGCCCUACGGUAAGGAGACAGGAAUGGAGUCUGAACAAAGCACGCUUGUUUCAACAUAGACUAGGAAGGAACAUGUGCUUCAGAUAAAACUUCCUGAAACCUAAAGUAAAUAGGUAAGCCAUCCCAAGAACUCUACCGACAUACACUUUUUCUUAAUAGUCUGGCAUCUGACCUCCUUCACUGAACAAGUAUCGAAAGGCCAAGAGACAUAAAGUGCAUGUUGUAGAAUAAGAUGCAGACUGAAUUAAGGAAAAAGUUUUACAACUUCCCAAAGAGGUGUGGGCAAAACACCCAAAACAAUACCCAACCUAGAGAAGGCCCUUAAUAUCCUGCCCUUCUGUGUACUGCUAGGGAAACAGCUAUGAGUUUGACAGGGAGGGAGACUCAGAGUUAUGUGGAAAAAUUCCUCUUUGCAUGGUUGUAAGCAGGAAGCAGACUUCACAUAAGGCUGAAUAGAGAAUAUGCUUUAUCCUGGUAUUCAUUCCAGAUACCUUUCAUGCCAACAGUGACUUCCCACUCAUCUGGCCUUGAGGCAGCAGUAAACAAAAUGGAAUAAUAGGCAGCCAGGAGCAGAACUAAAUUAAAUUUUCCUAGAGAUGGUGUUUUAGACAUCUGUGCCAAGACCACUGGGUAAUUCCCAGGCUCCCUAGGUGGUGCCUUGUGAGGUUCCUUAUCCCAUCCCUUACCCAUGUUUACCCCAACCACUGUGGGAUGCAGAGGAGAAGUCACAUACAUCAGUGCUACCUAAAAGAGUUGCCCUUAGAUUUUUAGGUAAGCAAGAGAGAAAGCCUUUGGAGACUGCAAAUCUACCAAGUUAUGUUUUAUCUUGAUAUGGGCCCUGGCCUCAAAGCAUGCUAGGCUCUAGUUACUUCAGUAGGUUGCUGUGUUACAAGUCUGCACCAGUCUAGCUAUAGAACACUUUGGAAUAUUUGCCAGCUCACGCUGACAUCUGUUAAUAAUACAUGGCAUGACCCAUGUACCCAUUACCAUAAACUCAACCAAAGAAGAGACAUCCAUCCUGAAGUUUAAAAACCCCUAUUACCUCAACACAGCAACAGAGGGAGAGGAUUAAAAACUGCUUCCAGCAGGUGGCUAUAUCAGAAACUAACUGUACCUUCCAACAGUUUACACACACCUGGAGUUCUGUCUUGGCUCCCUUCAAGGUUUCUAGUUCUAUCCUUGAACCAACACCACCACCACCCUCCCACUGAGACAGGCAGGGCACCAUCAUGGGGUUCUGCUGGUUCUACCAUUGACCCUGCUAGUCCUUUGGGAAGGCACCAAGAUUGGCAACUCAGGAACACUCAGGGAUGGGCAGGAAGAGCACGUACACAUCAGAAGAGGAAUGAAGAGCUGCUAUCCUUUGGUUCAAAUUGCAUAAUAACCAUCUAGUACAGAUUCCAAGGGACAACUACAGUUAUGUGUAUAAUGAGUAUACACAGAGUUCACACUGCAUAUAUGGGGAUAUCUGUACAGAGACUUUGUGGGGCAAUGAACCCAGAUUUCCUCCCAAUACUCCAAGCGAGGCACAAUAGAUGCUAAGAAAGGACAGCAAGAGUUGGACCAAAAAGAACAACCUCUCUAGGAAUGUGAGAGGGACAAUGGCAAAAAUAAGCACAAACCAGCCCAGGUCACCUUUAUUACACUCUUAUGGGCUAAGGAGCCCAGGGCAUGAACUCAUGGGCUUAAGAAUUGGCUUUUUAUCAAAUAAAAGUUAAGAACACCUAUGUCAGCCUCAUUCCUUUGGUCAUUACAAAGCAACAAAAAAUGUUUAGAAGUUAUUCAUAAAUUGUGGGAAGUUCAAGGAACAUCUCUGUUCUGUGCCUUCUCUUCCCUCUUCUCUGGUGGUGGGAGAAGCAAGUCCUCAGGAGAUGCUGCAGUAGUAGCUGGUCGAUGUUUUUUCCACUUUUAUUUUCCAUAAAAGCAAGAAUGAAUGAGAACUAGUGGGAAUUUCCCCUUCC